rnacentral:rRNA from 1 species
CCUACGGGAGGCAGCAGUAGGGAAUCUUCCACAAUGGACGAAAGUCUGAUGAAGCAACGCCGCGUGAACGAUGAAGGCCUUCGGGUCGUAAAGUUCUGUUGUAAGGGAAGAACAAGUGCCGCAGGCAAUGGCGGCACCUUGACGGUACCUUGCGAGAAAGCCACGGCUAACUACGUGCCAGCAGCCGCGGUAAUACGUAGGUGGCAAGCGUUGUCCGGAAUUAUUGGGCGUAAAGCGCGCGCAGGCGGCCUCUUAAGUCUGAUGUGAAAGCCCCCGGCUCAACCGGGGAGGGCCAUUGGAAACUGGGAGGCUUGAGUAUAGGAGAGAAGAGUGGAAUUCCACGUGUAGCGGUGAAAUGCGUAGAGAUGUGGAGGAACACCAGUGGCGAAGGCGACUCUUUGGCCUAUAACUGACGCUGAGGCGCGAAAGCGUGGGGAGCAAACAGGAUUAGAUACCCUGGUAGUCCACGCCGUAAACGAUGAGUGCUAGGUGUUGGAGGGUUUCCGCCCUUCAGUGCUGAAGCUAACGCAUUAAGCACUCCGCCUGGGGAGUACGGUCGCAAGGCUGAAACUCAAAUGAAUUGACGGGG